rnacentral:rRNA from 1 species
CAAAAACAUCGCCUCUUGCAAACUUAAUAAAUAAGAGGUCCCGCCUGCCCUGUGACUAUUAGUUUAACGGCCGCGGUAUUUUGACCGUGCGAAGGUAGCGCAAUCACUUGUCUUUUAAAUGAAGACCUGUAUGAAUGGCAUAACGAGGGCUUAACUGUCUCCUCCCUCCAGUCAAUGAAAUUGAUCUUCCCGUGCAGAAGCGGGAAUACGAACAUAAGACGAGAAGACCCUAUGGAGCUUUAGACACCAAGACAGAUCAUGUUAAUGACCCUGAAUAAAGGAACAAACCAAAUGGAAUCCGUCCUAAUGUCUUUGGUUGGGGCGACCGCGGGGAAUUAGAGAACCCCCACGUGGAAUGGGAGCACCCCUCCUACAACUAAGAGCUACAGCUCUAGUAAACAGAAAUUCUGACCAGCAAGAUCCGGCAAUGCCGAUCAACGGACCGAGUUACCCUAGGGAUAACAGCGCAAUCCUCUUUUAGAGCCCAUAUCGACAAGGGGGUUUACGACCUCGAUGUUGGAUCAGGACAUCCUAAUGGUGCAGCCGCUAUUAAGGGUUCGUUUGUUCAACGAUUAAAGUCCUACGUGAUCUGA